rnacentral:rRNA from 1 species
CAGUAGCCGCGGUAAUACGUGGGUCCCGAGCGUUGUCCGGAUUUAUUGGGCGUAAAGCGAGCGCAGGCGGUUAGAUAAGUCUGAAGUUAAAGGCUGUGGCUUAACCAUAGUACGCUUUGGAAACUGUUUAACUUGAGUGCAAGAGGGGAGAGUGGAAUUCCAUGUGUAGCGGUGAAAUGCGUAGAUAUAUGGAGGAACACCGGUGGCGAAAGCGGCUCUCUGGCUUGUAACUGACGCUGAGGCUCGAAAGCGUGGGGAGCAAACAGGAUUAGAUACCCGCGUAGUCCCUGUCUCUUAUACA